rnacentral:rRNA from 1 species
GAUGAACGCUGGCGGCGUACCUAAUACAUGCAAGUCGAGCGAAAAGACGAGGAGCUUGCUCCUCUGACGUUAGCGGCGGACGGGUGAGUAAAACGUGGAUAACCUACCUAUAAGACUGGGAUAACUUCGGGAAACCGGAGCUAAUACCGGAUAAUAUAUUGAACCGCAUGGUUCAAUAGUGAAAGACGGUUUUGCUGUCACUUAUAGAUGGAUCCGCGCCGCAUUAGCUAGUUGGUAAGGUAACGGCUUACCAAGGCGACGAUGCGUAGCCGACCUGAGAGGGUGAUCGGCCACACUGGAACUGAGACACGGUCCAGACUCCUACGGGAGGCAGCAGUAGGGAAUCUUCCGCAAUGGGCGAAAGCCUGACGGAGCAACGCCGCGUGAAUGAAGAAGGUCUUCGGAUCGUAAAACUCUGUUAUUAGGGAAGAACAAAUGUGUAAUUAACUAUGCACGUCUUGACGGUACCUAAUCAGAAAGCCACGGCUAACUACGUG